rnacentral:rRNA from 1 species
UACAGAGGUGGCAAGCGUUGUUCGGAAUUACUGGGCGUAAAGGGCGCGUAGGCGGCUCGCUAAGUCAGACGUGAAAUCCCCCGGCUUAACCUGGGAACUGCGUCUGAUACUGGCAAGCUCGAGUGCGGGAGAGGGAUGAGGAAUUCCAGGUGUAGCGGUGAAAUGCGUAGAUAUCUGGAGGAACACCGGUGGCGAAGGCGGCAUCCUGGACCGACACUGACGCUGAGGCGCGAAAGCUAGGGGAGCAAACAGG